UGGGGAAUUUUGGGCAAUGGGCGAAAGCCUGACCCAGCAACGCCGCGUGAAGGAUGAAGUCUCUCGGGAUGUAAACUUCGUAAGAAUAGGAAGAAUAAAUGACGGUACUAUUUGUAAGGUCCGGCUAACUACGUGCCAGCAGCCGCGGUAAUACGUAGGGACCAAGCGUUGUUCGGAUUUACUGGGCGUAAAGGGCGCGUAGGCGGCGUGGUAAGUCACUUGUGAAAUCUCCGAGCUUAACUCGGAACGGUCAAGUGAUACUGCUGUGCUAGAGUACAGAAGGGGCAAUCGGAAUUCUUGGUGUAGCGGUGAAAUGCGUAGAUAUCAAGAGGAACACCUGAGGUGAAGACGGGUUGCUGGGCUGAUACUGACGCUGAGGCGCGAAAGCUAGGGUAGCAAACGGGAUUAGAUACCCCUGUAGUCCCUGAGCGGGCUGGCAAGGCGCAU
rnacentral:rRNA from 1 species